rnacentral:lncRNA from 1 species
AUUUAUGGACAAUGAAUAAUGGUGCAGGUUGUAGAAUUUCCAGUGCCACAGCUAGUGGCCAGAAGCCAACCACUCUGCCACAAAAAGUGGUACCACCUCCAAGUUCUUGCGCCUCCCUGGUUCCCAAACCCCCACCCAACCACGAACAAGUGCUCAGAAGGGCAACAUCCCAGAAAGCUUCCAAAGGGUCCUCCGCGGAAGGGCAGCUGAAUGGACUCCAGAGCAGCCUUAACCCUGCAGCCUUUGUGCCCAUCACCAGCUCUACAGAAUGUUGCCAGAAGAUACUACCAGGGCUGCCCAGAUCAGUUGGAAAGGCCUUAGGGACAAAUCUUUAAGAGAUCCUGCUCACACUAAAAUAUGAACCACAAACACACAGAGAAACAACCUGUUCACCACUCCUGGGUGCAUGAUUGAGGGUGAAGCAUCCACCAGCACUUCAAGGGGUCCAUAGUAUUUUUUUUUUUGCUGCCUCAAAGUCCCCAAAGCCUUCGAGCAGAAGUGGCAGUAGAUGGUUGCCAAUCAGCCAAUGCAGACUUUCACUGGGACAACAAGAAAGCAGAUCUUCUGGGUUUUGAUGGAACUUGGCAGUGGGGACAUUCAGCUGAUGCAUUAUAUACCCCGUCAGAGCACACUUGUAUCUUUUACCUUCCCUUUGCCCCAUGCCCCCAAACUGCUUAGGUCUUCUCUGUCCCUUUACUGCUGCUGCACAGAGAUGAUAUAAAAGAGGCUCUUUGGCUA